rnacentral:SRP_RNA from 2 species
GCCAGGCAUGGUGGCGUGUGCCUAUAGUCCCAGCUACGUGGGAGGCUGAGGUGGGAGGAUUGCUUGUACCCAGGACAUUGAGGCUGCAGUGAGUCAUGAUCCCACCACUGUACUCCAGCCUGGGUAACAGAACAAGACCCUGUCUCAA